AAUACAAAUAAGAUGUUCCAUUUUUCAAAAAUUUGCUGCAAAUUUUCAUAUUAGAUCAAUCAUAUUUUCUUAAAAGUUGUGAUUGUUGGGAAUUUAAUCUGUCCUUUGGUAUUAUUUAUUUGAGUAGAUGUUUCCUGUCUGUCACUUCUCACUAGCAUCUAGGCUCCCUGCUGCAUCCCAUACAUAAACAGUGCCUUGUGCACUGCCAUUUAACAAAUAUUUUUAGCAUCUACCAUAUCCACUGUGUUAAGCACUAGGAAUACUUCUAUCCCGACACUGAUUGCUGGCCCUGCUCAACUUGGUUGCCUUGGCCCAGAACAGUCUGCCACCUACGGGUUGUCCAAUCAAUUAACCACUGCAGCAGGGCAAGAAUGAAGAGAGCAGGAAAUAAGGUAUUGAUAGUGGGGAUGAGAAGACAGGAUUUGAGAGACAUUUCACGAAAAGAAUUACAGGACUGGGUAUAAAUUGGAUGAGAAGUAUAAUCAAGAGAAAAAGAGUCCCAAUUUCUAGCCUGUCUGUCUUUGUCUUCAAGAUCUGUUGCCGGGAAAAUUGCUUGAACCCGGGAGGCGGAGGUUGCAGUGAGCUGAGAUUGCGCCACUGCACUCCAGCCUGGGUGACAGAGCAAGACUUCCGUCUCGGAAAAAAAUAAAAAAGAAUGAGCAAUGAAUGAAUGAAUGAAUAAACCGAUGAAUGUAUGACAUAUGAAAUAAAAUUAAUGAAGUCGCCCAGGCUGGAGUGCAAUGGCACAAUCUCGGCUCACUGCAACCUCCGCCUCCUAGGUUCAAGCGAUUCUCCUGCCUCAGCCCCCGGAGUAGCUGGGAUUACAGGUGUGCGGCACCCUGCUCAGCUAAUUUUUGUAUUUUUAGUAGAGACGGGGUUUCACCGUGUUGGCCAGGCUGGUCUCGAACUCCUGACCUCAGGUGAUCCACCCACCUUGGCCUCCCAAAGUGCUGGGAUUACAGGUGUGAGCCACUGCACCUGGCCACUUUCUUAAAUUUCUAUGUAAAACUACAUCAUGAAGGACUAGAGUCAUAUUACUUGCAGGAGUACUUGGGGGCGGGAAUCCUAGCCUUUUUUUUUUUUUUUUUUUUAUUGAGACCGAGUCUCACUCUGUCACCCAGGCUGGAGUACAGUGGCGUGAUCUCAGCUCACUGCUGCCUCCACCUCCCGGGUUCAAGCGAUUCUCCUGCCUCAGCCUCCCCAGUAGCUGGGAUUACAGGCACACCAACAGACUCAGCUAAUUUUUGUAUUUGUAAUAGAGACGGGACUUCACCAUCUUGGCUGGUCUUGAACUCCUAGCCUCAAGCUAUCCACCUGCUUUGGCCUCCCAAAGUGCUAGGAUUACAGGCAUGAGCCACCGCGCCUGCCCAGAAUCCUAGCCUUUUCUGACCUCUUCCUUCGGCAUCCUGCUUCCCUCAUAGUGUCUUCCUGGCUGCUCCAGGCGGAGGGUGUUCAGCUCCCAUGGAGAAGCCCCACAGCUUUUCAGGAUUA
rnacentral:lncRNA from 1 species